rnacentral:rRNA from 1 species
UACGAGGGGGGCAAGCGUUGUUCGGAAUUAUUGGGCGUAAAGGGUGCGUAGGCGGUGCGGUGAGUCUGUUGUGAAAUCUCCGGGCUCAACUCGGAGUCUGCAUCAGAAACUGCCGUGCUGGAGUGUGGGAGAGGUGAGUGGAAUUCCCGGUGUAGCGGUGAAAUGCGUAGAGAUCGGGAGGAACACCUGCGGCGAAAGCGGCUCACUGGACCAUAACUGACGCUGAUGCACGAAAGCUAGGGGAGCAAACAGG